GGUACCGCCUGCCCAGUGACUCUUUUAACGGCCGCGGUAUCCUAACCGUGCAAAGGUAGCAUAAUCACUUGUCCCUUAAAUAGGGACUAGAAUGAACGGCUAAAUGAGGAUUAGACUGUCUCUUGCAGGUUGACCAGUGAAAUUGAUUUUCUAGUCCAAAAGCUGGAAUAAACUCAUAAGACGAAAAGACCCUGUGGAGCUUAAAAACCAGACACACCUAAUAUGUUUUCUUGGUUUUUUAGUUGGGGCGACUUCGGAGUAAAAAAAACCCUCCAAAACGUGACCACUCCCUUAUUAAGAUAAACACAUCAAAACAACUACACAAGACCCAGCAAUAAAAUAUUGUCUGAUCAACGAACCAAGUUACCCCAGGGAUAACAGCGCUAUCCCCUUUUAGAGUCCCUAUCGACAAGGGGGUUUACGACCUCGAUGUUGGAUCAGGACAUCCUAAUGGUGCAGCUGCCAUUAAGGGUUCGUUUGUUCAACGAUUAAAGUCCUA
rnacentral:rRNA from 1 species